rnacentral:misc_RNA from 1 species
UUCUGGACUCGCUCUGCAUGUCGGGCUCCCUGCACUUUUGGUGCGGCCAACCGACAUGGGGCUGUCCCCUCACUCUCCCUCCCGUCAUUGAAUUUGUCGGGUUGGGACGCUUGUGAUCGGUUGCCUGUGCGGUUCUACCCUCUUGUGGGUAGCGAAGUCGUCCCUCGAUGGAUAUUUGCUUGCCCUGCUGACAUUUUUUUGUCGUCCGGGCAGCCGAAAUGUUGGCGAAGUCCUUGCGUUGGCGCGCGGCUGAAUGCCUCGUUGCUAUCGCUCGGAUUUCUGCCGGCUCUCACGGAUGCGGUGCCCAGUGCUAGCUCUGCGGGACUUUGCCCCGCAGACUUCGGGAGGUCCCCUGCACGAAUCAUUGCUCUUAUACGCCGUCUGUCGUGUUGCCGGUGGCGGCACGCAGAUCGUGUUCUGCCGUGCCGUCGUUGGCGACGCGUCAGAACAGUGUGUCCGGAGCGUGCUCGCGUGCAUGUGGAAUGCCUCUCCGUCCGUAUGAGCAGCGAUUUCCGGUUUGCGUCACGCGAAGGCCCGCCCGUCCGGGUUGGUGCCGGAGCUGACGUGCCGGCUCUCGUUUAAGACGUGC